AGCGGAUCUGAAACACACCAGAGCUGUUCUGGGAUCUGUUUAACCAGGGAUCAGGACUGUAAACAACUCUAGUUCUAAUCAUGGUUAAACUGACUUAAAUGGUAAAUGGCCUGUAUUUGAUAUAGCGCCUUCUAGAGUCCUGGAACCCCUCAAGGCACUUUACAACACAAUCAGUCAUUCACCCAUUCACACACACAUUCACAACCUGGUGGGGAUGAGCUACAAUGUAGCCACAGCUGCCCUGGGGCACACUGACAGAGGCGAGGCUGCCGAGCACUGGCACCACUGGUCCCUCCGACCACCACCAGCAGGCAAUGUGGGUUAAGUGUCUUGCCCAAGGACACAACGACAGCGACAGACUGAGCGGGGCUCGAACCUGCAACCUUCCGAUUACGGGGCGAGCACUUAACUCCUGUGCCACCGUCGCCCCCUUGAACCAUCAAAGGGACUCAGACUUUUAUUUUGGUAAUUCUUCUGUUUACAACAGUCUGACUCUGGAUGUUUUUUUAACCCUCCCACUCUCCUAAUGGGUGAACCCACGAGGAAAGUUGAGCAGGGUUGAUGGUUUAUCCCUUGAGGUCCACAUGGCAGGGGUGAGGAGUGAGCACCACCUCAUCUCUGCCAUGUGGACCUCAAGGGAUAAACCAUCAACCCUACUCAAUGGUCAACUUUCCUCGCGGGGUCACCCAUAAAGACAGUGGGAGGUUUACAUAUUUAGUGUAAAAUCUCCACCUUUUUAUUUAGAUAUAACAUUUAGGUUCAGCUUUGCAUGGUUGGAUUUAAUUCUAAAUCUUUGUUUUCAAUGUUUUAAAUUGAGGUUCAAUUUUUGGAUGCUUUACUCAGUAAUCAGCACCCCAUAGAGAAUGCGUUUACUCGGGAUUUAAGGGUAACUCCUGUGAACAGGUGACUCGUGUAGAGGCUUAAAACCAUGAGUUAAAACUGUGUGAAGACUCUGAUCAGGAACUUCCUCCUAACUAUCAGAUUCUGUUCACAUCUCAGGACUUCUGUGAUGAAGCUUCAAAGGCCUGAAGAACCCCAUCCUGUUUCCAUAGCAACAGUUGGACCUAAUCAUCAUCACCUGCUGCGUCCUUCGUGGUACCGACCUGCAGCCAGCAGCUGGUUACUGGAGGAGCACGUCUCCACAGCUUUCCUCUUCCAUCCUUCCACCUGGAGAACCAAACAGGUCAUACGUGUGCCAGACUUUAGCGUGAGCCUGUGAAGAACCAACAGGAUGGUGUUAGCAUGUUCCACUCUGAUUCUCCUCUCUGGAGUCGGAUCCUGGAGCUGCUUUUAGGAAUUCUGACGUCUCGUCUCGGACCAGACUGAAGAACCGGGCCCUGGACCAUUCCGUCUUACCUUGAUGAUGUGAUGAGCUGCUCUGUCAAAAGUUACAGCAGCAAACAGGAAGUUGGUACCUAACAUACCCAUGGGUUGUUGAAGGUGAUCCAGUACUUCACUCUGUUUCCAAACCUCUCAAAACACAAGUUGGCAAAGUCGUUGAAGGAGUUGAUGAUGCUGGCAUUCUGCCAGCCGCCAUGUUUCUCCUGCAGCACCUGCGGGAAGCCUGUUUCAGCGAGGAACCGACACCAGAACCGCUAACCUGCAGG